CGGGUGAGUAACGCGUAUCCAACCUGCCUUACACUCUUGGACAGCCUUCUGAAAGGGAGAUUAAUACAAGAUGUUAUCAUGAGUAAGCAUUUUCGCAUGAUUAAAGGUUUACCGGUGUAAGAUGGGGAUGCGUUCCAUUAGAUAGUAGGCGGGGUAACGGCCCACCUACUCUUCGAUGGAUAGGGGUUCUGAGAAGAAGGUCCCCCACAUUGGAACUGAGACACGGUCCAAACUCCUACGGGAGGCAGCAGUGAGGAAUAUUGGUCAAUGGACGAGAGUCUGAACCAGCCAAGUAGCGUGAAGGAUGAAGGUUCUAUGGAUUGUAAACUUCUUUUAUACUGGAAUAAACGAAUCCACGCGUGGAUUUUUGCAUGUACCGUAUGAAUAAGGAUCGGCUAACUCCGUGCCAGCACCCGCGGUAAUACGGAGGAUCCGAGCGUUAUCCGGAUUUAUUGGGUUUAAAGGGGAGCGUAGAUGGGUUGUUAAAGUUCAGUUGUGAAAGUUUUGCGGCUCAACCCGUAAAAAUUGGCAAUUGAUACUGGC
rnacentral:rRNA from 1 species